GUGCCUAACACAUGCAAGUCGAACGGGAAUCUUCGGAUUCUAGUGGCGGACGGGUGAGUAACGCGUAAGAAUCUAACUUCAGGACGGGGACAACAGUUGGAAACGACUGCUAAUACCCGAUGUGCCGAAAGGUGAAACCUAAUUGGCCUGAAGAAGAGCUUGCGUCUGAUUAGCUAGUUGGUGGGGUAAAGGCCUACCAAGGCGACGAUCAGUAGCUGGUCUGAGAGGAUGAGCAGCCACACUGGGACUGAGACACGGCCCAGACUCCUACGGGAGGCAGCAGUGGGGAAUUUUCCGCAAUGGGCGAAAGCCUGACGGAGCAACGCCGCGUGAGGGAGGAAGGUCUUUGGAUUGUAAACCUCUUUUCUCAAGGAAGAAGUUCUGACGGUACUUGAGGAAUCAGCCUCGGCUAACUCCGUGCCAGCAGCCGCGGUAAUACGGGGGAGGCAAGCGUUAUCCGGAAUUAUUGGGCGUAAAGCGUCCGCAGGUGGUCAGCCAAGUCUGCCGUCAAAUCAGGUUGCUUAACGACCUAAAGGCGGUGGAAACUGGCAGACUAGAGAGCAGUAGGGGUAGCAGGAAUUCCCAGUGUAGCGGUGAAAUGCGUAGAGAUUGGGAAGAACAUCGGUGGCGAAAGCGUGCUACUGGGCUGUAUCUGACACUCAGGGACGAAAGCUAGGGGAGCGAAAGGGAUUAGAUACCCCUGUAGUCCUAGCCGUAAACGAUGGAUACUAGGCGUGGCUUGUAUCGACCGAGCCGUGCCG
rnacentral:rRNA from 1 species